UACGAAGGGGGCUAGCGUUACUCGGAUUGACUGGGCGUAAAGGGCGCGUAGGCGGCUUGUACAGUCAGACGUGAAAUUCCUGGGCCCAACCUGGGGGCUGCGUUUGAUACGUGCGGGCUUGAGUUCGGAAGAGGGUCGUGGAAUUCCCAGUGUAGAGGUGAAAUCGUAGAUAUCAAGCGGAACACCGGUGGCGAAGGCGGCU
rnacentral:rRNA from 1 species